CCUACGGGAGUCAGCAGUGGGGAAUAUUGCACAAUGGGGGAAACCCUGAUGCAGCGACGCCGCGUGAGUGAAGAAGUAUUUCGGUAUGUAACGCUCUAUCAGCAGGGAAGAAAAAAGACGGUACCUGACUAAGAAGCCCCGGCUAACUACGUGCCCGCAGCCGCGGUAAUACGGAGGGGGCAAGCGUUAACCGGUUUUACUGGGGGUAAAGGGAGCGUAGAAGGCGCGGGAAGUCUGGAGUUAAAGGCAGGGGCCUAACCCCUGAACUGCUUUGGAAACUGGCAUGCUAGAGUGCUGGAGAGGUAAGUGGAAUUCCUAGUGUAGCGGUGAAAUGCGUAGAUAUUAGGAGGAACACCAGUGGCGAAGGCGGCUUACUGGACAGUAACUGACGUUGAGGCUCGAAAGCGUGGGGAGCAAACAGGAUUAGAUACCCGUGUAGUC
rnacentral:rRNA from 1 species